GUUAAUGUAGCUUAAAUUUUUAAAAAGCAAGACACUGAAAAUGUCUAGAUGGGCCUUAUAGCCCCAUCAACA
rnacentral:tRNA from 1 species